UGGCACCGGGGAAUACUAAAGACCAGGGAAUUUGAUCAUGGAUUGAUAUUAAUUACACAAACACACAUAAAUAUAUAUAUAUAUAUAUAUGUGUGUGUGUGUGUGUGUGUGUGUGUGUGUGUGUGUGUAAUUAAUAUCAAGGGUGCACUCAUAGGUUUUGCAAAUAUCAA